GACGAACGCUGGCGGCGUGGAUUAGGCAUGCAAGUCGAACGGUAGGAUACCUUCGGGUAUCUGAGAGUGGCGAACGGGUGAGUAACACGUAGGUGAUCUACCCUCAAGAUUGGGACAACCCAGGGAAACUUGGGCUAAUACCGGAUGAAAGCAGCAGUGAUGUUGUUUGAAAGGUGGCGUAAGCUGCCGUUUGGGGAUGAGCCUGCGCUCUAUUAGUUAGUUGGCGGGGUAAAGGCCCACCAAGGCGAUGAUAGAUAGGCGGCCUUAACGGGUGGUCGCCCACACUGGGAUUGAGAUACGGCCCAGACUCCUACGGGAGGCAGCAGUCGAGAAUAGUCUACAAUGGCCGAAAGGCUGAUAGUGCGACGCCGCGUGAACGAAGAAGCCCUUCGGGUGUAAAGUCUUUUAUAUGUGAGCAGUGCUUUCUAUGUGAACAGCAUGGGGAGAGAGAUAUUAGCAUAUGAAUAAGAACGGCUAACUCCGUGCCAGC
rnacentral:rRNA from 1 species